AUGCCUGGUCGUAUAGCAACAUACACGUCAACUUAUUACAUGAACUUCAAAAGAUAGAAAGAAAAUUGAGUCGAUAGAACGAAGUAAAGAAAGGAAGAAAUGGCAGCUGCAACUGCAAACUACCUCUUAAAAGCAAGAGCAACCUUUCUCCUUUCCUGCUACAACCAUAACUUCAACCCUCGUUUACUCCCAUUUUCUCUCUCUACAAUCUCUUUCCGCCAUCCAAAUAGCAGACGCCAUUUUCGCUGCCUUUGUACAGCCGCGGAUGCAUCAACUUCUUCAACCGUCAUCGAUUCGAAUGCUUCUUCUUCUCCUGGAUCCGAAGAUCCGGACAUGGGUUCCGUGAAGGAGUCGGCGAAUUUGCUUGAUAUUAGGGUUGGUAAGGUUUUGAAGGCAUGGAGACAUCCUGAUGCUGAUUCUUUGUAUGUCGAGGAGGUUGAUGUUGGAGAAGAUGAGCCUAGAACUAUUUGCAGCGGCCUUGUCAAAUAUGUUCCUAUUGAUGAUUUACAGGACAAAAAAGUAGUUGUCCUGGCUAAUCUGAAACCAAGAAAUAUGCGUGGCAUCAAGUCCAAUGGUAUGCUUAUGGCUGCUUCUGAUGAGUCUCACGAGAAUGUUGAGCUCCUUGUGCCUCCUGAAGAUUCAGUCCCAGGAGAGAGAAUUUGGUUUGGCUUGGAAGAGGACAAGGAAAAUCAACCUGCUCCUGCCUCUCCAAACCAGAUUCAGAAGAAAAAGGUGUGGGAAUUAGUGCAGCCUCAUCUCAAGACGGAUGCUACUUGCAUAGCAAUGCUUGAUGGAAAUUACAUGAGGACUUCUGCAGGUCUUGUAGUUUCCAAAUCCCUCAAAAAUGCAAAUAUAUCUUAAUUGAGUGGAGCUCUCCUGCGACAUCCAGCUCAUUUUUGGUCUUAUUCAUAGUUGGUUCAUCUAAGUAAGACGAGCCUUUUCAACUCCAUUUUGCUAUUUUAGCAACUUCUAUUUGCAAAAUUCAAAGAAGUUGGGUUCUGGGAUCGCAAUAAAAUUGGUCCUAGAAGUUUUCUUCCCCCAAUUGAUGAUCACCUGAGGUCCGGCUUAAGAUGGUAUUCGAGCUCCAAAGGCUCUGAAAUACUCAUCCGUUCACGCGUUGCUUGGUAAUUGAAUUUUCGGCCAACUUCUUGGUUGUUUAUUUGCUUUUAAUUGUUCAUGUGUCAAAUAAUCUAAUAAAUUAUUAGAGAGAAGGAGCACACUCCCUCCUAUGGUUAGGGUUCCGGUGGACUAAUUCUGUCACUGGCAAUACCCAGGUCAUUAUGGUAGCGCUUAGGUGUGGAGUAGGCGGCAAACACUAUUUAUCGCUUCGCCCACUCCCAUGGUCUACUGUUGUUCUUUCCCAUACCCCAGUGCUGAUGUACGUGUGAUUAGGAAGAACACACUUAAAUGUAAAAGUUUCUAGUUUGUUUCUAUAAAGAAUAGAGAAGAAUAAUUAGAUAUAAAAAAAGAAUAGUAGAAGAAAAUUGAUAAGAGCCAAAUCACAAGACAAACUCAAUGAUUUGGAAUUUAGGCUAGAGAUAAGAACACGCUCAAUCUACCCUAAAAUUAACACUCAAGAUAAACUCAAAGUGAUAAUUGGAGUUACUAUUUCUUUGGACAAACUCAAAGAAGAAAACCAAUGUAUAAACUCAAGGUUUAAAAUGAUUAAUCAACAACUUGUUUUUUUUUCAUUUCAUAAGGCCUCUUUAUAUCGAGCUAAGUACAAGCUUUUAGAAUGCUUACAUAUACAAUGAAACACUUAAAUUUAAUGAGCAAUAAAAGCUAGAGAAUGAAGCACUAAAAGUCUAGUAUAUGAAGCAUCAAAGGUCUAGUACAUGAAGCACCAAAAGUUCCUUAUUAAAUGUACUAACUAUGUUGAUUUUUAAAAAAUCAACUAUUUAUAGACUCUUUUUUUUCUACCUUCUUUUAUUUUAAACUUCAAAAUAGACUUAAAAUGUUGGACAACCAAGAGUAACUUUUGGGUCAGCUACAUAUCCCCAACAUAAUUCCAAGUUAAGCAUGUGACAAAUUCCGGUUUAUGAAAAAAAGAUUUAUACCCGAGUGUCUCAAGAACCAAAGUAAUGGGUUAACGAACACUAAUACUCGAUCUUGGAUCAAGUGGGCAUGGCUCCUGGUGGUAGUCAAGGUGGUUGUUUUCUUUGGUUCCAAUGCCAAGAGGCUGCUAACUAUGAUAUCUCCUUCUACGGGGUAAGGGCUUUUCUUGUGAGGGCUCUUCUUUUGAGGUAAGUCUUGGCUGUUCCGAUGAUGGUUCCCAAGAUUAUUAGAUUCGAGAUUAUACUUGGGAUCGAAUCGAGCUCUUGUGAUCAGAUUGUACUAACUGUAAAAAAUUUGCAAUGAUUUUGAA